rnacentral:rRNA from 1 species
UAGGUAUCUGGGCCUGGGACGUCGUGAAGAGGGGGGGUGCCAGCGGUGUUCGGAACUACUGGUAGUAAAGGUCGCGUAGGCGGUCAACUAAGUCAGACGUGAAGUCCCUCGGCUUAAGCGGGGAACUGCGUCUGAUACUGGAUGGCUUGGGGUUGGGAGGGGGAUGCGGAAUUCCAGGUGUAGCGGUGAAAUGCGUAGAUAUCUGGAGGAACACCGGUGGCGAAGGCGGCAUCCUGGACCAAUUCUGACGCUGAGGAGCGAAAGCCAGGGGAGCAAACGGGAUUAGAUACCCGGGUAGUC